rnacentral:rRNA from 1 species
GACAGAGGGUGCAAACGUUGUUCGGAAUUACUGGGCGUAAAGCGCGUGUAGGCUGCUCUGCAAGUCGGGUGUGAAAGCCCUGGGCUCAACCUAGGAAGUGCACUCGAAACUGCAGAGCUGGAGUCCUGGAGAGGAAGGCGGAAUUCUCGGUGUAGAGGUGAAAUGCGUAGAGAUGGGGGAGAACACUCGUGGCGAAGGCGGCCAGCUAGACCAGUUCUGACACUGAGGCGCGACAGCGUGGGGAGCAAACAGG